GACGAACGCUGGCGGCGUGCUUAACACAUGCAAGUCGAACGGAAAGGCCCCUUCGGGGGUGCUCGAGUGGCGAACGGGUGAGUAACACGUGGGUGAUCUGCCCUGCACUUUGGGAUAAGCCUGGGAAACUGGGUCUAAUACCGGAUAGGACUACGGCCUGCAUGGGUUGUGGUGGAAAGCUUUUGCGGUGUGGGAUGGGCCCGCGGCCUAUCAGCUUGUUGGUGGGGUGAUGGCCUACCAAGGCGUCGACGGGUAGCCGGCCUGAGAGGGUGUCCGGCCACACUGGGACUGAGAUACGGCCCAGACUCCUACGGGAGGCAGCAGUGGGGAAUAUUGCACAAUGGGCGCAAGCCUGAUGCAGCGACGCCGCGUGGGGGAAGACGGCCUUCGGGUUGUAAACCUCUUUCAGCACAGACGAAGCGCAAGUGACGGUAUGUGUAGAAGAAGCACCGGCCAACUACGUGCCAGCCGCCGCGGUAAUAC
rnacentral:rRNA from 1 species